rnacentral:rRNA from 1 species
UACGUAGGGGGCUAGCGUUGUCCGGAAUCACUGGGCGUAAAGCGCACGUAGGCGGAUUUCUAAGUCCGGGGUGAAAUCCUGGAGCUCAACUCCAGAACUGCCUUUGAUACUGGCGACCUUGAGUCCGGGAGAGGUGAGUGGAACUGCGAGUGUAGAGGUGAAAUUCGUAGAUAUUCGCAAGAACACCAGUGGCGAAGGCGGCUCACUGGCCCGAUACUGACGCUGAGGCACGAAAGCGUGGGGAGCAAACAGG